UUAGAGUUUGAUCCUGGCUCAGAUUGAACGCUGGCGGCAGGCCUAACACAUGCAAGUCGAGCGGAUGAGUGGAGCUUGCUCCAUGAUUCAGCGGCGGACGGGUGAGUAAUGCCUAGGAAUCUGCCUGGUAGUGGGGGACAACGUUUCGAAAGGAACGCUAAUACCGCAUACGUCCUACGGGAGAAAGCAGGGGACCUUCGGGCCUUGCGCUAUCAGAUGAGCCUAGGUCGGAUUAGCUAGUAGGUGAGGUAAAGGCUCACCUAGGCGACGAUCCGUAACUGGUCUGAGAGGAUGAUCAGUCACACUGGAACUGAGACACGGUCCAGACUCCUACGGGAGGCAGCAGUGGGGAAUAUUGGACAAUGGGCGAAAGCCUGAUCCAGCCAUGCCGCGUGUGUGAAGAAGGUCUUCGGAUUGUAAAGCACUUUUAGUUGGGAGGAAGGGCAGUAAGUUAAUACCUUGCUGUUUUGACGUUCCCAACAGAUUAAGCUCCGGUUAAUUUGGUGCCAGCAGCCGCGUUAUUAGGAAGGGUGCAAGCGUUUAUCGGAAUUUUUGGGGGUAAAGCUCGCGUAGGUGGUUCAUCAAUUUGGAGUUGAAAUCCCCGGGUUCAACUUGGGAAGUCCCUCCAAAAUUCCUGAGUUGGAGUACGUUAGAGGGUAGUGGAAUUUCGUGUGUAGCGGUGAAAUGCGUGGAUAUAGGAAGGACCACCAGUGGGGAAGGCGUCUACUUGGACUGAUAUUGCCAUUGAGGUGGGAAAGUGUGGGGAGCAAAC
rnacentral:rRNA from 1 species